CCCUCCAGAUUAUUUCUUGUUUUGUUGUAUACAAAUAAUGGACUGUUGUUGGAUUUCAGUCUUCAUUGUGCUGACCUCUACCAACUAUGGAACAUGUGAAUCUUCUCAGCCAGUAUAUGUGGUGGAAGGGGAUAAAGCAUCUGUGCCUUGUACUUACAAGGAGAGCAACUUUCGCAGUCUAAUGUGGUAUCGUCAGUAUCCAGGAGAGAAGCUGGAUUUACUAAUUCAAAUAUAUAAUGAUGGAAAUAAAACAGAAGGAAGAUUCACAGCUGAACUCCAGCAACAACAAAGCAGCAGCGUUCUUUAUAUACCAGCCACACGUGUGACCGACUCUGCAUUGUAUGUUUGCGCAGUGGAGGCACAGUGUGAAGAAUUGUGUGGCAGGCAAUGCAAGAAUACUGUGCUGUUAGAUGAAAUCUCCGAAUAAUGUUCAGAUUUAGAUAAUUGUUGGCUUUUACUCUCUGAAAACCUCAUACGUUAUAGAGACACAAAUUCACAAAUGUACCAGAGGUAUUCAACCAUCUUUAUUAAUAUAUUAAUAUUAGUUAUUUAUUAAUAUAUUAUAUUAUUAAUAUUGUUUUGAAUUCUCACGAUCCUCCACUAAUGAAAAAAAAAAACUGUUUGUUUUUUUUCUAUUGUACACAUGCCAAUUUAGGGAUU